GCCGGGCGUGGUGGCAUGUGCCUGUAGUCUGGAGGCUGAGGCAGAAGGAUUGCUUGAGCCCAAGAGUACCAGGCCAGUCUGGAAAACACAGCAAGUUCUGUCUUUA
rnacentral:sRNA from 1 species